rnacentral:rRNA from 1 species
AGCGAACGCUGGCGGCAGGCCUAACACAUGUAAGUCGAACGGAUCCUUCGGGAUUAGUGGCGGACGGGUGAGUAACACGUGGGAACGUGCCCUUUGGUUCGGAACAACUCAGGGAAACUUGAGCUAAUACCGGAUGUGCCCUUCGGGGGAAAGAUUUAUCGCCAUUGGAGCGGCCCGCGUCUGAUUAGCUAGUUGGUGAGGUAACGGCCCACCAAGGCGACGAUCAGUAGCUGGUCUGAGAGGAUGAUCAGCCACACUGGGACUGAGACACGGCCCAGACUCCUACGGGAGGCAGCAGUGGGGAAUCUUGCGCAAUGGGCGAAAGCCUGACGCAGCCAUGCCGCGUGAAUGAUGAAGGUCUUAGGAUUGUAAAAUUCUUUCAGCGGGGACGAUAAUGACGGUACCCGCAGAAGAAGCUCCGGCUAACUUCGUG